rnacentral:rRNA from 1 species
UUUAAAUGAAGACCAGAACAAAAGAUUAAACGUUUAAAUUAAUAUCUAUACUUAAUUAAAUCCAAUUUAUCUUAAAUGUAAAAAGACAUUUAUAAAUAAAAAAGACGACAAGACCCUAUUGAACUUAACUUAAGUUAAACUGGGGCAGUUCAUUAAUUAUAAUUUUAAUGUAUAAAAUAAAAUAAAUUAUCCAAUAUUAUUGACAUGAUCAAGUUACCAUAGGGAUAACAGCGUAAUAAUUUUCUAAAGACCUUAUAAAAAUAAUAGUUUGCGACCUCGAUGUUGAAUUAAUUACCUAAUUAGAGCAAAAGCUAAUUAAGGAAGUCUGUUCGACUUUUAAAAAAUUACAUGAUUUGAGUUCAGACCGGUAUAAGCCAGGUCGGUUUCUAUCUUUUCUUAAAUUCUUGUAGUACGAAAGGGCCUAAGAAACUAAUUUAAUUAAUUAAUUGGCAGAAAAAUGCAUUAGAAUUAGAAUCUAAUAAAACUAAUUUAUACCAUUUAUAUUAUCAUACCUAAUCAUUAUUAUCAGA